rnacentral:tRNA from 3 species
GCUAAGUAGCUUAAUGGUAAAGCCCCCGGUUGUGGUCCGGGCGAUCACGGUUCAACUCCGUGCUUAAGCCACCA